ACUAAUGUUGAAAAAUUAGCGGAUGACUUGUGGCUGGGGGUGAAAGGCCAAUCAAACCGGGAGAUAGCUGGUUCUCCCCGAAAGCUAUUUAGGUAGCGCCUCGUGAAUUCAUCUCCGGGGGUAGAGCACUGUUUCGGCAAGGGGGUCAUCCCGACUUACCAACCCGAUGCAAACUGCGAAUACCGGAGAAUGUUAUCACGGGAGACACACGGCGGGUGCUAACGUCCGUCGUGAAGAGGGAAACAACCCAGACCGCCAGCUAAGGUCCCAAAGUCAUGGUUAAGUGGGAAACGAUGUGGGAAGGCCCAGACAGCCAGGAUGUUGGCUUAGAAGCAGCCAUCAUUUAAAGAAAGCGUAAUAGCUCACUGGUCGAGUCGGCCUGCGCGGAAGAUGUAACGGGGCUAAACCAUGCACCGAAGCUGCGGCAGCGACGCUUAUGCGUUGUUGGGUAGGGGAGCGUUCUGUAAGCCUGUGAAGGUGUGCUGUGAGGCAUGCUGGAGGUAUCAGAAGUGCGAAUGCUGACAUAAGUAACGAUAAAGCGGGUGAAAAGCCCGCUCGCCGGAAGACCAAGGGUUCCUGUCCAACGUUAAUCGGGGCAGGGUGAGUCGACCCCUAAGGCGAGGCCGAAAGGCGUAGUCGAUGGGAAACAGGUUAAUAUUCCUGUACUUGGUGUUACUGCGAAGGGGGGACGGAGAAGGCUAUGUUGGCCGGGCGACGGUUGUCCCGGUUUAAGCGUGUAGGCUGGUUUUCCAGGCAAAUCCGGAAAAUCAAGGCUGAGGCGUGAUGACGAGGCACUACGGUGCUGAAGCAACAAAUGCCCUGCUUCCAGGAAAAGCCUCUAAGCAUCAGGUAACAUCAAAUCGUACCCCAAACCGACACAGGUGGUCAGGUAGAGAAUACCAAGGCGCUUGAGAGAACUCGGGUGAAGGAACUAGGCAAAAUGGUGCCGUAACUUCGGGAGAAGG
rnacentral:rRNA from 1 species